rnacentral:rRNA from 1 species
CACGUAGGGUGCGAGCGUUGUCCGGAAUUAUUGGGCGUAAAGAGCUCGUAGGCGGUCUGUCACGUCGGCUGUGAAAACCCGAGGCUCAACCUCGGGCCUGCAGUCGAUACGGGCAAACUAGAGUACUGCAGGGGAGACUGGAAUUCCUGGUGUAGCGGUGAAAUGCGCAGAUAUCAGGAGGAACACCGGUGGCGAAGGCGGGUCUCUGGGCAGUAACUGACGCUGGAGGAGCGAAAGCCGUGGGGAGCGAACAGG